rnacentral:rRNA from 1 species
GACGAACGCUGGCGGCGUGCUUAACACAUGCAAGUCGAACGAGGCCCCUCCUUCGGGAGGGUGUCCUAGUGGCGAACGGGUGAGUAACACGUGGGCAACCUGCCCCCGGCUCUGGGAUAACCCCAAGAAAUUGGGGCUAAUACCGGAUAUGACCGCUGACCGCAUGGUCGGUGGUGGAAAGUUUUUUCGGCUGGGGAUGGGCCCGCGGCCUAGCAGCUUGUUGGUGGGGUAGUGGCCUACCAAGGCGACGACGGGUAGCCGGCCUGAGAGGGGGACCGGCCACACUGGGACUGAGACACGGCCCAGACUCCUACGGGAGGCUGCAGUGGGGAAUAUUGCGCAAUGGGCGGAAGCCUGGCGCAGCGACGCCGCGUGGGGGAUGACGGCCUUCGGGUUGUAAACCUCUUUCAGCAGGGACGAAGCGAAAGUGACGGUACCUGCAGAAGAAGCACCGGCCAACUACGUGCCAGCCGCCGCGGUAA